rnacentral:lncRNA from 1 species
UGGAUGGGCUCACAGUGGAUGGGCUCACAGUUGGAUUGGCUCACCAUGGAUGGGCUCACAGUGGAUGGGCUCACAGUUGGAUGGGCUCACAGUGGAUGGGAUCACAGUGGAUGGGCUCACAGCAGUCCUCUCACCUGGCUGCACAUCCAAUCACCUGGGUCCUCUUAUAUUUCCCAGGACUCCGUGGCACACCUGGCCCAUUAAAUCAGAAAGUUUGGGGUGAUGAGCCAGGCAUAAGUAUGUUUUAGGAUCCCUAAGUGGUUCCAGUGUGACUCAAACUUUGGGAACCAUGGGGCUACAGGACAGGAUAGAUUGUGGGCAGCCAGCCAGGACUCAACCAUGUUCAAAGCGCUUUCUUAUCCUUGCUGUCAUCGCCCGCUGAGGAGUCACACCAUUAUACCCAUUGUACCGAGGAGGAAAGUGAGGCCUACGGUGUUGCCACACCUCCUGAGACAGUCAUUGUUAAGGCUGGGACGAGAGCCCUGUCUCUGGACCCUCAAAGCUGACUCCUCCUACAUAGGCGCAGCUACAGAGGGCCCUUGGGAAUAGUCACAAAGAGACAAGGACCUGGACUUCCAGAGAUUGCAAGGUUCUGGGAGACAUGCCAACCUUUCCUGGGAGGAGGUUCUGACGGUGGCAGGGGUGGCAUAGCAAGAGCAUCCUUGAAGCCGGCAGCGAGGGCUUUGCACGCUGGGUGCAGGCCAGCACACUGAGCCAGCUCACACCUUGGCCCCAAGUGGGCCCUGGUUCCACCCCAGGAACUUGUUCAUCUGGCUUCAUCCAGUGGUGUGUGGGGAUCUGUUCCGGGACAGCCGGGCCCAGACAUCACCUCUUUAUCUAAGUCUUUCCUGGCCCUCCUCUGUUAACAAAAAGGCAGCUUAACAGGGAAUGGAAGGUUAACAGCAGCUUUCAACUUCCUCUAGGUCUGUGUUGGAAACAUGGCCAUUCACAUACAGCCCAAGGCACCAUUGGCAGGAAAAUCAGAGGGGCCCUCAGCAACUCUGGGGCUGGCUUAGCUCCCACCCAUUGCCCUAGUCCUCGAAGACUGUCAGCAGCCACCCGUCCAGCUCAUCCCCUCCCUCGUCUGUCUAUUUCAGAGGCCAGAGGAAGGCAGAGAAGAUGAGGAGACCAGCUAAGUUGCAUAGUGCAGAAUAAUGCACUGCCUUGCAGCCACCCAGACCAGAGUUCAAAUCCCAGCUCUGCUGUGUGCUCUUACUAGGUGAUCUUGGAGAAGCUGCCUGACCCCUCCAGGCCUUGGAACUCUAAUCUAUAAAAUGGUGGUGUUAAUAACCGUCAUCUCCAGUAUCUGUGACGCUGUGGGUUAAGUAACAUCCGCUCUGGCUGUGGGAUCCUAGACAUGUUAUUUUGCCUCCCUCUGCUUCAGUGAACCCAUCUUUAAAAUGGGAAUGAUAACUCUUACUCAUAGAGGUGGAGUAAGGAUUAAAUCCAUUAAAUGAAUCAAUCUACACAAAGUACUUAGAACAACAUCUGGCCUGUCCCAAGAGCUUGGCACACCCCCCACGCCCCACCUCCCUCCUGCGGUCAGGGGCCCCCUAGGCAGGGAUAGUCUCUUGGUGUCUCUUUCUUCUUAAGUGGAAGAUGGCCCCAGGACAGAGGGAGCAGCGAGGGCCUGGAUGCCCUGGAGGAGUGAAGAACCAUAGAGAUUGGUUUCCAAACUCAAAUAGUACUUAGUGAGCACCAGCCCUGUGCCAGGCACCGGGCUGGACACGCUGGCAGCAUUUCCUCUGAUCCAAGUGCAACCCUGAGGGGCACGGUUCCCAGCAUUUCUGGAGGGGAACCCAAGAGUCAGAGAUGUCAGGGACAGCCAACUGCCCUUGGAGAAGCGGAAUAGAAGGAAUUCGAAACCAUGACCUGUGACUCUGUGUCCCCUAUUCUGCCUUCAUCAUGCCACGCUCUUCAUGUCUCAAAUAGAAGUUCCUGCAGAGGAGGUGUCAGGCUCAGCGAGCAAAGCUGGGCCCUGUGGAAUCACUGAAUAGCAGAUUUCAAGUCACUAUAAGCACCCUGUCUAACAGUCCAAGCUUCCCCAAGCUGAGAAGUGCUGCCUUAGGGGGAAUGGGCCCCCUGUCCCCAGUUACAGUCUGAAAGAGCUUCACUCUCCUAGCGGCAGCAGACCUGGAAUGUCCCAGUGCUGUGGGAAGCCGGCUCAGCGCCUGAGAGUCUCCAUGCUGCACGACCUGGGAAGUGAGCGCCCUUUGAAGGGAAUCACAGCCAAAUCAGUUUUCCCUGUUUGUAAAAUGGGGUGCAGAGCUGAGGAGAGUUGGCUAUCAUCACACUCCCUGCAGAGCAGUGGGCAGCUGACUGGGAAGCCCCGACACAGGCACCCAGACCAUGGCCCAGGCAGGGCAGAGCCCAGGGCAAAGAGUUUCCAAGACUUCUCUCCCCAGUGCUCAGGGACCCUCUGGACAUUAGUGGCUGAUUUGAGAAGGUCAGGCAAAAAACUCAAGGCCUAAAGGAGUGAAAUAGAAGAUCCAGGACCUGGGUGGCUUGAUAAGGAGACAUGAGCACCAAGCUUGUGGUCAGAAGAAGUGGAUUCAAGAGCUAGACAGUUUAGAGAGAUGUUGACAAUAACGCCAGAAACCCAGGCUGAGAACAAUAACCUUGGUGGGCACAGAUGCUCCCUCUUAGCUGUGGGCUUAGGGGCAGUGAAGGCCCCAUUAUCAGGCUGAGGAGACCAACCAAGCUUGCAUGCAGACGCUCUCCGUUCCUGGGCCGGAUCCCGGGAGACCCUGGCAUACAGGGCUUUCUUUCAGGCAGUAACCAACACUGGGGGCUCAGGCCACAGGCACGCCUCACUCAGCUCUCCCCCGCCCUUGCUGCCUCAGGGGCUGGGAGGACAGAAAGCUCCUUGCGGGCAGGCACUUCCCCAGGAAAGGCAGACCGGUGGAGUCUGGAUGCAGAGCUUUCUGCCAACAGAACUUCCCACGGGCAGCCUGAAAUGAGCAGCAAUUACACGUGGCCUCUAGGGCCACAUUUGAUAAGAAGAGCUGCAAUUUACUGUGUCCCUACUAUGUAC